AUUGCGCUGAUGUUGUUUUGAUUUCGCUCGCGGUUCGGAUUUUCGGGAUUAAAUUUCUUAACAACGGAUUCGAUUUCCGGUUCGAAAAACGUCGUAAUCGGUUUGUAUGGUGUCAGCAAAUCAUUCAAUAAGGAAAAUGGGCAGGUUACGCGACCCAAGCGGACAAUCCGAGGAUUAAAUCUGAGCCGGGAACCUGCUGUGAAACACCAACACAAGAAUCGACGUCAAAAAUUGUUUGUGGCGAUUAUCGUGUUCAAUUUUACGACCUGAAAAUUUCAGUUUGAAAUAACUGUAAGGUUUCGAUCAAAUUGUUAUUAGGUGUUGGCUCGGAUGUGGUUUCGCAAUUCAAUGCAGCCGAUGACAUCCAUACGGUUUGUCGAGCACAUCAACUGGUUAUGGAAAGAUACAAAUGACACUUCAAUUAAACUGUUCAAACCGUUUGGUCGUUGGGUGCGGACAAUUGUUUUUGAGGUUAACAUGAAGGCCGAAUCGGGAAGAACAUUUUGGAAGGUAUCUCCGAAGAGUGCGGCUUACUUCCUUUCCACCCCCAAACGACCGACCAACCAAUCGAAAUAUCUCCGCGAAGUCUCAAAGAUUAUUUAAAAGUUUUUUUUUAAGCUGAUAGUCUAUGAUAGUUUUUUUUAAGACGAUGUACUUUACAAAGAUGGUAGAAGAAUGAGCACUUCACGAACAAAUGUGCACUUUCCC